AGGCUGAUCUUGAACUCCCGGCCUCAAGCAAUCCUUCCACCUCAGCCCCAUAAGUACUGGGAUUAUAGCUUUGAGCCACUGCACGCGGCCUUCCCUUUCAUUCUUAUAUACAAAGCACCAUUAUGUAAAUGAGUACUUGUGCUUUUGUGCUGAUGCAUGGUUACUCUGUGUCUAUGAAAGAUGGUACACUGAAAAAAUUUUAAGCAUUAAAAUCUUGACUUACAAGACUUCAGAAUCCAGAAGCAUCGUGUAUACAGAGGAGAUGGAAAAAGUUUGAGCUGAAGGAAGGUUCUCAAUCAAAAGAAAGGGAAAGCAGUGUUUACGUAAGUGAGAAGAAUAUUUCCAUUUGCAAAUGGAAAUUUUGUUUAGGUGAGGAGCCACUAGUAGUACGAUGAAAUACAAACCCAUUUAGUCAACCAGGCCACAGAACCAUUUGAAUUCUGUGUAUCUAGCUAGGGGAGGUAGUCAGUGAAACCCAUUAAACAGUGUUCAGAAGAAACCAUGCAGCCCAGUGCAAUGAAAACGUACUUUUCAAGACUCAACGAUCUAUCCAAACAUCAUUUUAGAUGCUGUGGCAGAAGAAUGCCGUUGUCCCCACUCGAGUAGACUGCAUUAUUACUGGGGAAAGAAAACAAAGGCAUGAAAAAUGAGAGCAUGAGAUGCUGACCACAGCCUGGGAGUUCAGGAAGAGCUUGAAAAAACAAACACCUUCCUGACCUGAGUUCUCUGAGAAAGUGGAGCUGGAGUUUGGUAACACUCAGCAAUAGCUGGAAGAUGGACUUUUGGGACUUUGCCUGGGUGCCUGUGGAGAAAAUCAAGCCCUGGGCUGGAUAGUUCCUUCUGAGCACUGUUUAAUGAGUUUCACUGACUACCUCCCUAGCUAGAUAUAUAGAACACAAGUGGUUCUGUGGCUUGGUUGAUUAAAUGCUUCAUCAGGCAGACAGGCCCCUGGGAACUGUAUGCAACAUUUUAUUGCCUUUCAAGACAGUUGUUUCUCAUUGUAUAGAUGUGCCCGAGUGGAUAAAUAAUCAAGAGUUCCAAUGCCAAAGGCUAAUUUGCCCUGGCUUUGGAAAUGCCUCUUUUUUUUUUUUUUAGCCGUAAGCAGCAUGAAUUAUACUGAUAGUUUUGCAUGUUUCUGGCUGACCACCAAGGCCCGCCUUCCAGAAGGAUAGGAAAGUUGCUGGAUGAAGUUUUCUCACAGAAUUUACCACUGACUAUAAAGUGAAAUUGCUACAAUGAAUAAUCAUCUUUCCUUGUGCAAUCUUAAUUGAUUUGGCAACAUGUAUAAUUACCAUGAUGGCAGAGGAACCCUGUGAUGUUGAAUGAAGGAUGAGUUUCCUUGGCUAUCUGUAGAAAGCUUCAAAAAACCUCGUCAUCUUAAAGGCCCAACCACCACUGAACUCAUUUGAGCAGAGGUCACCACCUUGAACAGAUCCUUCUUGCUGUGUCCCAAGGACACAGAAAAUGGCUGGUGUGUUCCUCUCUGCGAAGAAUUUGCUGGCAUUUGAAAGAAAUGGCUGGUAGAAGAUUCACUGGACAGUGAAAUUCUUUGUGCCUGGGACAUAUUCAGUCUGUUAUUCUGCAGCACCAGGAAAGAAGGCCCAGUGUCAUUUUGUUCUGGAGCUUCUUGACAUUUUUUACUCUGUACUUUAAUUUUGGCAACCUUGGACUGAUGGGGUUUAUAGAUAUUAAUUAUCAAAUUGUUAUGUAUUCACUGAUAUCCUUUCAAUUCAAUAAGUGUUUUAAAUCUCUUGUGGUGUCGUUAAGUAUGUUACCAGGAAACUGAAAUAAUAUUUUCCGUCUUCCUCAUUUUUCUCCACAAAAUAGAAACAAGAUAACUAGACAUAGCUGAUAGUUAUUUUCUCUCAGAAAUUCAAAUAUAUUAUUUUUAAGUGCUUCUGUAAGUAUUUGAACUGAAUACAAUUAAAAAAAAUAAAAAUCUAAAGACCAA